CAGUCGCCGCGGGAAUACGUAUGUCGCGAGCGUUAUCCGAAAUUAUUGGGCAUAAAGGGCAUCUAGGCGGCCGGAUAAGUCUGGGGUGAAAACUUGCGGCUCAACCGCAAGCCUGCCCUGGAAACUAUGCGGCUAGAGUACUGGAGAGGUGGACGGAACUGCACGAGUAGAGGUGAAAUUCGUAGAUAUGUGCAGGAAUGCCGAUGAUGAAGAUAGUUCACUGGACGGUAACUGACGCUGAAGUGCGAAAGCUAGGGGAGCAAACAGGAUUAGAUACCCCAGUAGUCCCUGUCUCUUAUAC
rnacentral:rRNA from 1 species